UCGCUCCGCUGUUACGGCUCUCUUCUCCUGCAGAUUCCCAGCCGGAUCCCCUCCCAGCCUGGCUCUGCACAGCCCGGCCUUGGCAGGCCUGAAAAAACUCAAAGCUGAGGUGACUCCAGCCCGGGGGCCUGAGAGUAAAAGAUGCCGUUGCAAACAAAGGGAGGAGCCUGGAGAAAUAAAUCUACAGAAAAUUAAGGAGCAGAAACAAGUGAAACAGGAGUAACGAACCACUCACCUAAGCAAAGAACCAGUGCCAAGAACCCCCCUGCGGAACUGCAUUUUCAAACCUCUGCACUCUUAAAGAGUGAAAAGGGGAUGUUCUCUAACCUCACCAAUAAUAAAUAGCCCUGUUAAUAAAGGGAGAGAGGCUUUUAGUGAUGGUUAAAUACAACAUACCCAGUAUAAUUAAUAAAAAAUACACAGUGAGCUGCA